rnacentral:ncRNA from 1 species
GAGAGAAGGCCCCUUGAAGCCCGUCGUAUAGGCUGAGGCAUCGAAUCACUGCUGCCUUAAAGAGAGGCGGUGGUGAGCGAGUUGGGAAAAGGCAAGACUUUGUCAG